rnacentral:rRNA from 1 species
CGUGUAGGCGGUCUACCAAGUUGGGUGUGAAAGCCCUCGGCUUAACCGAGGAAGUGCGCCCAAAACUAGCAGACUCGAGUACCGGAGAGGGUGGCGGAAUUCCCGGUGUAGAGGUGAAAUUCGUAGAUAUCGGGAGGAACACCAGCGGCGAAGGCGGCCACCUGGACGGAUACUGACGCUGAGACGCGAAAGCGUGGGGAGCAAACAG